UACGGGGGGAGCAAGCGUUGUUCGGAUUUACUGGGCGUAAAGGGCGCGUAGGCGGUCGUGAUAAGUCACUUGUGAAAUCUCCGGGCUUAACUCGGAACGGUCAAGUGAUACUGUCGGACUAGAGUACAGAAGGGGCAACUGGAAUUCUCGGUGUAGCGGUGAAAUGCGUAGAUAUCGAGAGGAACACCUGCGGCGAAGGCGGGUUGCUGGGCUGAUACUGACGCUGAGGCGCGAAAGCCAGGGGAGCGAACGGG
rnacentral:rRNA from 1 species